GUGAACCUACUUUACCCCUCCUCUUCAAUUUAAAACCCAGUAUUUGUGGAGCAGUAAGAUUUAACGGUUUGUUUUAAUUGUGUUUUAAUUUAAUAUCAAGAUAUGUUGCCUUAAUGAACUUAUUUUAUGUGUGAAUAUAAUUUUUUUCAAAGUUGUUUGACUUAUUAAGAAGCAGUAUUUACAUUUAUAACCUAUACCGGAGUUAUCUUCACGAUACGUUUAUAAAUUUGGUGGAGUAAUUUGUAAUUAUGAGUAACAAAGAAAACAAGUCACAACCAAAAACAGCCAAAGUUCCUUGUGCCAAACUGAUUUUGAACAAACAGCACCCUCCUGCAAAGUCAACAAAGGGAGCUACAAAGCCAAUUUAUGCAAGAAAUGUGAUCCAGGGAGUUGCUCACACUCAGAAACAUGUUUUACAGCCAAAAGAGAAUCUGAAACAGCCAGCACUGCCCAGGGACAAUGUGCCUUCUGUGAUCGUGAACCAAGUGUCCAAACCUCUAGAAGUGCUCAGCUCAAAUACCAAUAUCCAGUUGAAUCAAGUUUCCACACAGGUUAAUUCAAAUAUAAAACCAUUAAAUUUACAAGAAACUGUAGUUGUGGGGAGCAACACUUGUUCAAAAAAGGAGGUGCAAGAACAAGAUGAUAGGCGAAAGUGGACACUAGCAGACUUUGACAUUGGACGAGCUCUUGGAAAGGGAAAAUUUGGCAACGUAUACCUUGCAAGAGAAAAAAAGUCUAAAUUUAUCAUUGCCUUAAAAGUUCUCUUUAAAUCUCAGAUCCAGAAAGCAAAUGUUGAACAUCAGUUGAAAAGGGAAAUUGAGAUUCAGUCACACCUGAGGCAUCCCAACAUACUGAGGAUGUAUGGUUAUUUCCAUGAUGACAGUCGGGUGUACAUGAUCCUGGAGUUUGCACCAAAUGGAGAACUGUUUAAAGAACUUCAGGCACAACCAAACAAAAGAUUUACUGAAGAACGGACUGCAAAAUAUAUUGCACAGAUUGCAGAUGCUCUUAGAUAUUGUCAUGGCAAGAAAGUAAUUCAUCGAGAUAUCAAGCCAGAAAAUCUUCUGCUUGGUCACAAAGGAGAAAUAAAGAUAGCGGACUUUGGUUGGUCUGUUCAUUCCCCAUCGUCAAGGAGAGACACAUUGUGUGGUACUUUGGAUUACCUUCCACCAGAAAUGGUUCAGGGUCAGCCUCAUGAUGAAAAGGUUGACUUGUGGAGUCUGGGUGUGUUAUGUUAUGAAUGCCUCGUUGGAAAGCCACCAUUUGAAGCUGCAACGUAUGAAGAAACCUAUCGUAGAAUUGGGAGGGCUAAAUAUUCUUUCCCGCCCCAUGUAUCUGAAGGUGCCAGAGAUCUCAUUCGCAAAUUACUUGUGACUAAUCCAUCGCUACGCCUGCCAUUAAACAAUGUCUUGAGUCACGAAUGGAUCACGAACAGUGCUGUCUGCAAGGCUGAAAGCACAGCAGUAUCAUCAGGCUGCACACAGAAACCUGCUGUAUAAAAAGUCAUUAUGGUGGAUCAAGUUUACUGGUGUUUUUGCUAAAUUCAUUGGCCAUGAACAAUUAUUUUUAUGACUGUAAUAUAAAUACAUCAUGCCCAUCUGCAGAAGGAAAAGUUGUCAUGUGGCCAAUAUUCAAUAGAAAUUCUCAAAUGUUAAACCUAGAAGCUGCAAUAUAUAUUCCUGUAAUGGCAGGUACCGGCUUCAAAAAGUACAACUCAGAACACUCAACUAAAGAUACACAGUUGCACCUUUGGAAGAAUGUUAGCUGUAGGAAACAUUUAUGUAAAAUCAAAGAUCAUAGAGUUGACAUUUUCCUAUAAAUGUGUUGAGGAACAGUGGAAUUUACCAUCAGAUUUGAUCGACUGCAGGUUUUUGUUAGCAGUGCCUGUAGAUAGGUGUGUUUAAUGAAUUUUAUGCUUACAUUUCUAAUAGAAAAUCAUGUUGUAUGUUGAACUGUAAAUGCCUGUCCCUUUGGAAUAUUUAUUUGAAUUCUUAAUAUAUUUUCAGUUUAAAAAAAAGAGCUGGAAUUAAUAUGACCUGAAAUGUUUAUGUUUCUUCAUAGAAAUGUAAAGGUUUCUAGAUUGUAAUUACUUCUGUAAGACAUAAGCUCUAAAUGUACAUACAUUUGGGGGUGUUUUGACCUAUAAGGAAAUCUCUUGUUUCAUUUCUGCACAGCAGCAAACUGAGGGUACAGUGCUGUUGUGUUUUUUCAGUAUGUUCAUGUUCAUGUUCAAUACUUUAUAUGCGAAACACCAAUUGGUUACAAGACACUGCAAGUUAUGACUUAAGUUUAGUGAAAUUAAUGCACUGUGAAUGAAAGUUUUUCAUGUAACACUGAUAUUUUGGGGGAAGCAAAGAAAACUGACCCUAGUCCUCUGACCUAGCACCACAAGACGUUAUUUCUGAAAGGUAAAAGUGUGCUUGUACUUAACUAAUUAAGCACUGUGCCAUAAAGACGUAACAUUUGAAUGGAUCUUCAAUGCUAGAUGGAAUGAGUGGUCAGUUUUACACCUCUGUCACUUUUCUCUCAGGGAAACAGCCCCCAGUAUCCAUUUUAUGGCAGUUUGGCUGGUGCUAGAGCCAGCUUGGAUGCUGUUGAAAAGAGAAGUAUCUCUUGUCCUUGCUGCAAAUUGAACCCUGACUUCUUGGUCAUCCACCCCAUAGCCUGCCUGCUAUACAAACACAUAUCCUGGCUCCUAGACUGUUUGUAUGGUACUGUGAAGCUGUGAUUCUCAACAUUCUGCAUCUUGUGUCCCACCAGUAACUGCUCUCCCCAAGUAGCCCCAACAUGGUAAGAAAGUUCAUUGUUUUCUAAGGUGUUUAUUUUUACAAUUAGGUAUAUAUAUAUUAAGAUUAUAUUACUCAUUAAUAAAAGUUCUUGUUUUUGAGACAUCAUGUCACUGUCAGUCAAGUGUUGAGUUUGACUGGACAAUAAACACUUCUGAGGAAGCCAGAAUUGAAUUUGCACAUAUGUCUGUUUCAUCAGUAACAUGCCUACAGAUGUGUUGGUCUGUUGCAUGACAAUGUCAGCAUUGCAUUGACACUUAGUGGGUGCUUUGACCAUGUCCAUUGUCCAGGUACAUUUCACAGUGGACUGAUGUCUGGUGCUAAAGACACAAUUAAAAUGUGUGUGCAUCUUUAUAGAGAUUAUGUAACACUUUUCUCAAUAUCUGAUGAUAAAUGGUAGUUAUGGUUGGGUCUUUGUGCUCCAGUUCUAUCAAGAGCACCUUCCUUUCUACUGACCAGUUCAAAUAAACUGAAAUGCACAAUCUUGAGAGACUGUCACUCGACUUGAAAUAAUCAGCACAAGGUAAGCAGACAAGACUUCAAGCCAAUACUGAUGUUUUGUCAUGGUUGCAAAACAUGCACAAAUUUCAAGAGAUGUAACAUCACAUUGUCCAAGAGACUGCUGAUGUUCCUCUGAAGUAUUCAUGGACAUAUACUGGACUACACAGUAUUACAGCAUGGAAUAUAGCUGCCACUAUGGCCAUCUAAAAUUCGGCAUGGACAAAUUAUAAUUCUGAUUGAAAAAUAUUUAUUUCUAUGAAGUGAAAUACAUUUAAAAGAAAAGCAUACUUAGGAAUACAUGAAAGUGGUAGCUCAUGUUGUUGAUAUAAACCAAAGCCUAGUUCAUUAUAGGACAGGAAAGUAUGGAAACCUGUUUAAGUGGAGGCAGUAAGAUCUUCACAAUGUUUUUAUGCACUAAAAUUCAACUGAUGAAUGCUAUCAUCUUAUAGCAUUCCUCAGAUUAAAACUGACAGUUCCAAUUGCUCUGGUUUACAUGACUGAAAAAAAGAAAAAUGAAGACUGUCCACAGUGUGAAUGUGGAGAGUAGUCAUUAUGAAUGAUACUCUGCAAGCAGCCACAACAGUGGGUGAGCUUAAUCUGCGUGUCACAGUUUCACCACAAAGUACUUGAAUAAACAACGCAGUGACACUCAAUUUUGCUGAAAGCAUUACUUCAUUGCUAUUUAUUUUAUUGUGGAAUGGCAUAAUUUUCUUAUGGGUAUGGAUUACUUUAAUUGAUUUUAUUAGAAUUGGUGAUGAGUUUUCCUCUAUACAGAUACUGUAUAGGUAAAAAAAAGUAGAGCUAUUCCUGUAACAGGCUGUGGAAGCCUAUAGGGUUGUGAGACUUGAUGAAACAAUUUGCUUUCAUUGAAAAUCAACAUUCCAUAGUGUUACACUUGGUACCAAUGUAUUUUCUUUGUUUUUGUGCUUCCUCCCCUCUUCAUUUAUGUUCUCUCCACAGUCAAUGUGAUUGGCGCAUGCCUGAGUCACCAGUUCUAGUGAAGAAUAUUAUAGUAACAGUUCUUUCAAAGAAAGAAUGGUCUAAUGGAUUGUUUUGGAAGACUGCCCACUCUUAUCCUUUGUAGACUAAUAUUCAUAGUCUUUUGUGGAUGCUCAUCACAUGUG